rnacentral:rRNA from 1 species
AUUGAACGCUGGCGGAAUGCUUUACACAUGCAAGUCGAGCGGCAGCGCGGGGCAACCUGGCGGCGAGCGGCGAACGGGUGAGUAACAGAUCGGAACGUAUCCUGGAGUGGGGGAGUAGCCGGCGAAAGCCGGAUUAAUACCGCAUACGAUCUUUGGAUGAAAGUGGGGACCGCAAGGCCUCACGCUCAAGGAGCGGCCGAUCUCUGAUUAGCUAGUUGGCGGGGUAAAGGCCCACCAAGGCGAUGAUCAGUAGCUGGUCUGAGAGGAUGAUCAGCCACACUGGGACUGAGACACGGCCCAGACUCCUACGGGAGGCAGCAGUGGGGAAUUUUGGACAAUGGGGGCGAACCCUGAUCCAGCCAUUCCGCGUGAGUGAAGAAGGCCUGGUGUAA